rnacentral:rRNA from 1 species
AUUGAACGCUGGCGGCAUGCCUUACACAUGCAAGUCGAACGGUAACGCGGGGCAACCUGGCGACGAGUGGCGAACGGGUGAGUAAUAUAUCGGAACGUGCCCAGUAGUGGGGGAUAGCCCGGCGAAAGCCGGAUUAAUACCGCAUACGACCUAAGGGUGAAAGGGGGGGAUCGCAAGACCUCUCGCUAUUGGAGCGGCCGAUAUCAGAUUAGCUUGUUGGUGGGGUAAAAGCCUACCAAGGCGACGAUCUGUAGCUGGUCUGAGGGGACGACCAGCCACACUGGGACUGAGACACGGCCCAGACUCCUACGGGAGGCAGCAGUGGGGAAUUUUGGACAAUGGACGAAAGUCUGAUCCAGCCAUGCCGCGUGCGGGAAGAAGGCCUUCGGGUUGUAAACCGCUUUUGUCAGGGAAGAAAUCCUUUGGGUUAAUACCUCGGGGGGAUGACGGUACCUGAAGAAUACGCACCGGCUAACUACGUGCCAGCAGCCGCGGUAAUACGUAGGGUGCAAGCGUUAAUCGGAAUUACUGGGCGUAAAGCGUGCGCAGGC